UACGGAGGGUGCAAGCGUUAUCCGGAUUCACUGGGUUUAAAGGGUGCGUAGGUGGGCAGGUAAGUCAGUGGUGAAAUCUCCGGGCUCAACCCGGAAACUGCCAUUGAUACUAUCAGUCUUGAAUAUCGUGGAGGUAAGCGGAAUAUGUCAUGUAGCGGUGAAAUGCUUAGAUAUGACAUAGAACACCAAUUGCGAAGACAGCUUACUACCCGAAUAUUGACACUGAGGCACGUAAGCGUGGGGAUCAAACAGG
rnacentral:rRNA from 1 species